AGGCGCGUAGCUCAGUUGGCUAGAGCGCAUCCUUGACAUGGAUGAGGUCGUUGGUUCGAUUCCAAUCGCGCCUA
rfam:Anaerolineae bacterium SG8_19 WOR_8-12_458, whole genome shotgun sequence.